rnacentral:rRNA from 1 species
AUACAUGCAGUCGAGCGAACGGACGAGAAGCUUGCUUCUCUGAUGUUAGCGGCGGAGGGUGAGUAACACGUGGAUAACCUACCUAUAAGACUGGGAUAACUUCGGGAAACCGGAGCUAAUACCGGAUAAUAUUUUGAACCGCAUGGUUCAAAAGUGAAAGACGGUCUUGCUGUCACUUAUAGAUGGAUCCGCGCUGCAUUAGCUAGUUGGUAAGGUAACGGCUUACCAGGGCCACGAUGCAGAGCCCACCUGAGAGGGUGAUCGGCCACACUGGAACUGAGACACGGUCCAGACUCCUACGGGAGGCAGCAGUAGGGAAUCUUCCGCAGUGGGCGAAAGCCUGACGGAGCAACGCCGCGUGAGUGAUGAAGGUCUUCGGAUCGUAAAACUCUGUUAUUAGGGAAGAACAUAUGUGUAAGUAACUGUGCACAUCUUGACGGUACCUAAUCAGAAAGCCACGGCCAACUACGUGCCAGCAGCCGCGGUAAUACGUAUGUGGCAAGCGUUAUCCGGAAUUAUUGGGCGUAAAGCGCGCGUAGGCGGUUUUUUAAGUCUGAUGUGAAAGCCCACGGCUCACCGUGGAGGGUCAUUGGAAACUGGAAAACUUGAGUGCAGAAAGGAAAGUGGAAUUCCGUGUGUAGCGGUGAAAUGCGCAGAGAUAUGGAGGAACACCAGUGGCGAACGCCACUUUCUGGUCUGUAACUGACGCUUAUGUGCGAAAGCGUGGGGAUCACACAGGAUUAGAUACCCUGGUAGUCCACGCCAUACACUAUGAGUGCUAAGUGUUAGGGGGGUUUCCGCCCCUUAGUGCUGCAGCUACGCAUAGCACUCCGCCCGGGGAGUACGACCGCAGGUUGAAACUCAAGGAUUGACGGGACCCGCACAAGCGUGGAGCAUGUGGUUUUAUUUCGGAGCAACGCGAAACUUACCAAUCUGACCUUCUUUGACACUCUGAGAUAGAGCCUCCCCUUCCGGGGACAAAGUGACAG